CCGGUGUCUCCGCCGGUUGAAAGCGCGUGUCUGCGUCAGGUUCUGUUGGAGUGCGUUCGGUGCGCCGUGGGUCCGCGCUGCUUCCACCCAACUUCCUGUUAGACAUCUAGGCUUGCUGUCAAAGCUUCUGUUCAACAUGAGAUGACCGCCGUGUAGUAAACUGAUGAACCCCGACCCUGAUCAACGUCAGAUGAAUGCCGUGUGGUAAACUGAUGAACCCCGACCCUGAUCAACGUGAGAUGAACGCCGUGUGGUAAACUGAUGAACCCCGACGCUGAUGAACGUGAGAUGAACGCCGUGUGGUAAACUGAUGAACCCCAACCCUGAUGAACAUGAGAUGAACGCCGUGUGGUAAACUGAUGAACCCCGACCCUGAUGAAUGUGAGAUGACCGCUGUGUGGUAAACUGAUGAACCCUGACCCUGAUCAACAUGAGAUGACCGCUGUGUAGUAAACUGAUGAACCCUGACCCAUUAGGCUUUGGCUACAGAAUGUGGAAAUAAGUUGUGUUACUACAUGUGUGUAAUCCUAGGGUGCAGGACACUGGCCGGGAGGUUCCAUAGAGUGAUGGGUUGUGCAGGUAACUCAUCCUCUAGUCCUCUGUAAGCUCCUAGAAGGAAGAAAUUAUGUCCUUUAGACUAAUAAAAUUCCUCCAAACCAAAUACAGCACCUACUGUGAAGACACAAAGAUACUUUUAGAAUAGUAAAAACUUUAUCCAUUGAGAAAUUCCUUAAUGAAACAGUAUCCAAGAAGUCAUUUGCCAGCAGAUUUCUUAGAGGUGCGAUAAAGAAGAGGACAUUGCCAGUCGUCACAGCAGCUGCAAUAGCUCCUCUCUAUUGUUAAACAGUGGCAUAUCUUGUACAGGUUUUCAGUUGACAAUCAAUUUUAAAAAUUAGUUUCGGUCCCAUCAAUCAAUUAUUUAUUAACCCAUCAAUAAAAAUUUAAAUGCUCUGUGAGGUACAAUAGCUAUUAAAAGAGACAGAGGCACUUUCUGUGUCCAGAGGGGCUUUUAGUCUGCUCUGGAAAGCAAGAUGUAUGCAGAUGAGUGACGCAGUGCAUCGUGUGGAUGCAAAGGGAGGGACUCACAUGGGAACCAGAGGAGCUACGAAGGGAGGCAGCGGGGACUGGUGGGUCGAGACCUGGAAAUAACACAUGAAUAGGCAACAAAGGUUUCCGUUCCUCUUCCAUGCACUUCAGUCCUUGAAAAACGUCUCACCACGGAAUUCCACAGCGUACCAAGCGAUUCCACAGCUUGAUGGCACACUCUCCUUUCUCAGCAUUCUUGAAAAUGGCAUGUGAGCCAAGC
rnacentral:lncRNA from 1 species